UACAGAGGUCUCAAGCGUUGUUCGGAUUCAUUGGGCGUAAAGGGCGCGUAGGCGGUGGGGUCAGUCGGGUGUGAAAUGUCGGGGCUCAACCCCGAACCGGCACUCGAUACUGCUCGACUGGAGGGCUGGAGAGGAGAUCGGAAUUCACGGUGUAGCAGUGAAAUGCGUAGAGAUCGUGAGGAAGACCGGUGGCGAAGGCGGAUCUCUGGACAGCUUCUGACGCUGAGGCGCGAAGGCUAGGGGAGCAAACGGG
rnacentral:rRNA from 1 species